rnacentral:rRNA from 1 species
UACGUAGGGUGCGAGCGUUAAUCGGAAUUACUGGGCGUAAAGCGCGCGCAGGCGGUUUUGUAAGCCAGAUGUGAAAUCCCCGGGCUUAACCUGGGAAUGGCAUUUGGGACUGCAAGGCUUGAGUGCGGCAGAGGAGACUGGAAUUCCUGGUGUAGCAGUGAAAUGCGUAGAUAUCAGGAGGAACACCGAUGGCGAAGGCAGGUCUCUGGGCUGACACUGACACUCAUGCACGAAAGCGUGGGGAGCAAACAGGG